rnacentral:rRNA from 1 species
UACGUAGGGGGCAAGCGUUGUCCGGAUUUAUUGGGCGUAAAGGGCGCGUAGGCGGUUUCUUAAGUUUGAAGUGACAGUGGGUGGCUUAACUACCCAAGGCCUUUGAAAACUGGGGAACUUGAGGACCAGAGAGGGACAUAGAAUUCCGGGUGGAGUGGUGAAAUGCGUAGAUAUCCGGAGGAAUACCAAAGGCGAAGGCAGUGUCCUGGAGGGUUAACUGACGCUGAGGCGCGAAAGCCAGGGGAGCAAACGGG